AUCGGGGAGAGGAAGAGAGGCCCAUAGUGGAGGAAGACCCGCUCCUCGCGUCCGGGGCCUUGGGGCGUCGGGAACACUGUGCACUGCCGGAUGAACAUCUAGGUGACAGCGCCCUAGGAGAAUCUGUAGGGCGCGAACCCCCGCCGGCCGGCUGUCCAGGGCCGUCCUCCCCCUCCCGGGAGCUGGUACAGUCCGACCCCGCCCGCCGCCCAGGGCCAAUGGGAACGACCUUCCGGCACACCUGGGGCCCAAGCCCCGCCCCCGAGCUCCGGGCCAGCCGCUCACCGCCCCCGGGCGGCUGCGGAGAGCCGGGCGAUGGCCGCCUAGUGGCGCUCCAGGGACGAGCAUCCUGGCGCCGUCUGUUUACUCGUGGACCAAGCACUGAUGAGCCCUGCAGGAGCGGGGCGCAGCAAAGACCACACACCCGCAGCGAGUCCCGCUCUGUCCACACACGCGGCACAGUAAACACUGCCAGUCAUGCACCGCGUGGUGUGUGAUUCGUGCCAUGAUAAAAAGAUAAACAGAGUGGGACUCGGGGCUCAGGAGCCCAGAAGGCCACGCUGGCGUUAAUUAGAUGGUGAGAUGGACCUGGCAAAGGCAGAGGGCCGAGAGCGUGGACAAGCUGGCUGGACCACAGACGGAAGGCCUGCGUGGCUGGAGAGUGGCCAGUGGGGCUGCCAUGCUGGGCCAAAGACUCUGGGGUGCUGGAGGGUCUUGAGCAGAAUGACACGCACUGGCUUACAAGAUUCCCUGGGCCGCGGGGUGGGAACAGACUGGAGCAGCCAGGGCAAACCCCAGGAGACCAGUGGGCUACUUUGGUGACUCCCUUUCAGGGACCACCAUGGCCCAGGCUCAAGAUGGAAGCCAUGCUCGGGAGAAUGGGGGAACCUGAGGCGCGCACUUGUGACAUCCCCGAAGAGACGUUCAGUGGGCAGCUGACAAGGAUUGGGCAGAGGCUGCACUGGAGAUAAAAAUGUGGGAAUUGUAUUGUGCUGGGGGUGGGAGGUGGCGGGAACAGCAGAGGACCCCCAAUGUCAAGAGGUCCAGAAUCUGCGAAGGAGACUAAGAAGGGGGCCAGUGGUAGGGGCUCGAGGAGAAAACAGGAGAGGGGCUUUGGGAGCCAGGCAAAGAAGGCGCAUCCAGGAGGACGCCUGAGUGGAGGGAGGUGGCGGUCACUGGUGGCCCUAAGGACCGCAGUGCUGGGGGCAGGUGGGUGGCUGGAGGGCAUUUAAAAAGAAUGGGAGGCCAGUAAGCAGACAACAAGCACCUAUUACUCCUCCCAGUGGUUCUGCUGCCCAGGGAAGGGACAAGCGGAGGGAGCUGACAGGGAGUGGCCAAGAGAGGGUUGUUUUGCUUUUUCUGUUUAUUAUGAGAGGUAACAGCAUCCUUAUAGGCUCAGGACAUGACUUUGCAGAAAGGAAGAAUAGAAGGUCCCAGAGAGGUGGGGACUCUGCAGUGAUUCCUCCCUGUGGCCUGGAGCGGUAGGAUCUGCAGGGUGGCGGCUAGCACAGCACGGUGCGUCUUGGGUGUCUCCCAGGCCAGGUACCUGAACCUGGGCACUUGGGCUCUGAGUGUAUCAAUCACAUGACCUCAGGAGAGUCUCUCAACCUCCCCGUGCCUGAGUGUCCUUAGUCAUAAGACAGGGAUGUUGAGAGCUGGAUGACUGCGUACAGGGAUAGCACUUUGGGUAGGUUCCAGCGUGGUCAAUACACUGCACCAGGCACCUCACCCUCAGCUUGGAGCUUGGCAUGUGCUGGCCUUGCUACACACCAUAUCUAUCUGCUGAAGGCCAUUAAAUAUAAGGCCACUGCCCAGGAGAGGGUUCCAGAUGUGGGGGGGAGGACAUGCCACUGGAGCUGCUGGGAAAGAAUUGGACAGCUUCUGGCCACCCUGGAGCCCCCCUGGAGAAGGGCCAGCCCCUCCCACCUAUAUCUGCAGCUGCUCCUGGGGGGCUGCAGAAUUGUCAUAAUAAACUCAUGCACCCAUGAUGAAAUGCAAAGAACACUUUCUCAGCAGGCAGUCUUGGGUACACUGUACAACCUACCCAGCCAUGCCAACCUGUGCUCGGAUGUGAGACCUGUCCCCAGGGAACUGCCCAGAGCCCCUGGUCUGGGCCCAAACUGAGCAUAGCUAAUGGUACCUCUUGAGAACACAGGCAUAUAUCUGUACCUCCCACAUGCUGACGCCUCCAACAUGCUGAUGCAAAUACCUCACCCUCCCAUACGCCUGUGGACACCUUCCGUAUAUACCUCCCAUCGGUACCAUCACCUCCGGCACACACUGACCUGCCACCUCCCACAUGCUAGGGCCAAGCAAGAACACACAUGUAAACCCUGCUCACAUGCACUUCACAGAACUGCAUCCAGAAGCCCUGGCUGUAUUUCCGGUGUGCGCUGGCCCCCCCUGCUCCUGCCCCUCGCAGGCACAGGCAGGCACAGACAUGGCACGCGUGCUCCUCUCCUCAUGUGUUCGGGAGGGUGGAUCUGGGCCGGGAGCUCCCCUGGUCUCUCCAAUCCAGGCCAGCCCUUUCCUGUGUCAUCAGGCCUGCACACACAGGGCCGGAACCAGAGGAGGAGAUAGACAGGGCUGUUCUCCGACUUAGGAAAGCAGUGUGCUAGUGUCCUGAGGCUGCGGUGACAGAUGACCACAGACUGGGUGGCUUAAAGCAACAGAAAUUUAUUCUCUCAUAGUCCUGGAGGCCAAGUCCAAAACCAAGGUUGACAGGGCCACAUUCCCUCUGAAAUCUGUAGGGAGAAUCUUUUCCUGCUUUUCCAGUUUUUGCUGCUUCAGGCUUCCUUGACUUGUGGCAAUCACUCCAAUCUCUGCCUCUGUCUUCACAGGGCCUUCCUCCCUGUGUACCUGUCUCUCUCAUCUAUCUUGUGUAAAUACACCCGUCAUUGGAUUUAGGGCCUACCUAGACAAUCCAGAAUGAUCUCAUCUCAAGCUCUUUAACUUAAUUACAGCUGCGAAGACCCUUGUUCCAAGUAAGGCCACAUACACAGGGGCUAGGCAUUAGAAUGCGGACAAAUCUUUUUGAGGGGCCACCAUUCGACCCACUACAGAGGGCGAUAAGGAUGCGUUUGGAACCUACAGGAUGGGGGGCACAGCUGGGGGUUGUAGCAGCUGGACCAGACAGGAAUUUGGAGUUACCCUGACUUCCGGCCUCUUCAUGUUCCUGAGUCAGACUUCUUCCCUCCGAAGCCCUGCCCUGUCUUGAAGCUGUGUGUCCCACAGGUUCCUAGGGGUUCCCUCGAGACCACGCGAUCCAGGCCUGUUGAUGCCUCAACUUUCGACUCCAGUAGAACUGAGCCAGCUCAUUGCCCCCCGUGCUCCUUCCCUGGCCACAGGUGGCCACACUGCACAGCACCCUGCACCAGUCUUCACGUUCCCGAGGUCCCAGGCGGGGACACAUGCCUCCCUGGAGCCCUGGCAUUGAGCCACCCAAGCAACGGUUGUGAAGGAAAAAAUGAAGCGACCAAUAGUGGACAGGGUGCAGGAGGGGCCUGUGGCGGGUUUGCGGCAGCUGGAGGGCCCCAGCCCCGGCUUACAUGGGAUGUAGGGUGCCAGGAUGUGCACGGUUCCUGGGUCGGUCUUCUGGAUGUCGCCAAGCUGAGGGCAGCCCUGGGCAGGCACGGGUGUGGUGGUCAGAAACUCAGCCGUCAGGACCGGAGCCUCUAGGACCAUCCUCUAAAGAGCAUCUCUGGGAACUUUUUAAAGGAAGAUAGUGACAGUUUCGGCUUUUCUGUGUACUUCUGCCACUUCAUCAAGGCCACUGAGUGAGGACUUGGACCCAUUUGUGGUGCCCAGCAGUGUACCCCUCCAGAGGUGGGGGCACCUGGUGGAGUCCCUGGCCUGUCCGCUGGGCCUGCCUUCUCUGCUGGGAGCUUUCAAGUCUACGGUAAAAGCCUGCUGGUCGUGGAGUAUGCCCAGGGCCUGCAGGUGCCAGGAUGCCUGCGGCACACCCUGUCCUCUCCCCACGCAGUGGAGACUGACAGCUGGAGCUGGGUCUGCAGUUGGCGGAGAGGUCUCAGGGAUUCAUGUGGGCUUGGACUCCCCUUUGCAAAGACCCUGUCCUGGUGGUCACUGUGCUGUCACACGCAGCAGGUUCGGCAGGUGACGGGGAAGCUGUGGCGGCCUUGGGGUUGAGAACCCCGGUAUUCUCUGGCAGCCCUAGAGGGCACUCCUGCAUUGGGGGUGAGAAGGCGCUGAGGCCAGCAGGGGCUCCAGUGCUGUCCCCCGAACACAGCCUGGCCCUGAAGGGCGGCAGUGACGACUCAGUGGUCCUCACACCAGGCAGGGUCCUGCCUCAGCUGCUGGAGAGCUGCCCAGCCCGGCCUAGCGUGCUCCUGCCAUGAAUGGACGUUGCGGGGCAGGGCCUCCCCCACCUCGGCACAACUCACAUCAUUGUUUUCAAUGUACAGUUUAAAACUUAAACUUUUCAGCCACUCA